AGACAUGAACCACUGGCUGAGAAACAUCCUGAUUCUGACUCUCUGGCUAGAGUGUAAAGGAGAAGACAGAGUGACCCAGCCAGCAGGAGAUGUCAUUGCUGCUGAAGGAGACACAGUUACACUUGGCUGUACUUUUGAGACCAGUUAUACAAAUCCAACUUUGUUCUGGUACAAACAGGAUGGAAACAACAGCCCCAAAUUCAUGCUGAGUCGCAUGCAACAGAACGAUGUGAAAACAGAGGAUAAGUUUAAGGAGAGGUUUUCAUCAACAGUUGAUUCCACCUCAAAAUCAGUUCCUCUGAAGAUCCAGAAGCUUCAGCUGUCUGACUCUGCUGUGUACUACUGUGCUCUGCAGCCCACAGUGACAGGAAACACCAAAACUCUGUACA